AUUGAACGCUGGCGGCAGGCCUAACACAUGCAAGUCGAGCGGGGUUUUCGGACCUAGCGGCGGACGGGUGAGUAAUGCGUAGGAAGCUACCCGACAGAGGGGGAUACCAGUUGGAAACGACUGUUAAUACCGCAUAAUGUCUACGGACCAAAGUGUGGGACCUUCGGGCCACAUGCUGUCGGAUGCGCCUACGUGGGAUUAGCUAGUUGGUGAGGUAAUGGCUCACCAAGGCGACGAUCCCUAGCUGGUUUGAGAGGAUGACCAGCCACACUGGAACUGAGACACGGUCCAGACUCCUACGGGAGGCAGCAGUGGGGAAUAUUGGACAAUGGGCGGCAAGCCUGAUCCAGCCAUGCCGCGUGUGUGAAGGAGGCCUCGG
rnacentral:rRNA from 1 species